rnacentral:lncRNA from 1 species
ACAACAACAACAACUCGAUUAGCUUCAAAUUACACAUUGAGUCCACACAAGUGUUUAGGUUUUCAACCUAAAUCACAAAAGUUUUAAAGUACAUAGUUUCACAAAGAAAGCAUUUAUAAAUACACAAGACCAUAUAGAAAUUGUAGGAAAAUUGCUGAACCACAAGCAUGAUAUCGAGAGAGAACUGUUUUCAAAUAUUCCCAAUACUCAUUUAUGAAAAUUACGUAUGCAUAAAAAAUUUGUCAAAGAUAAUAUAAAUCUAUCUUCAACCCAGUUAAUAAGUUUCUACAAUCAACCCAAAAUUCACAAUUUAAGCCCAUACUUAUACAAAAAGUUAGCAGGGAACAAAAGUUGAUUCAAUAUAGAACACAUAUAGAUUGCAUUGAGCGCAUAUGAAUAAAAAAGGGGUAUUCGGGUUCUAUUCAAUUUCUUCAUUUUCCACUCAUCUUGCCAAGAAUAGCCUGAAGGUUUUACUGCAAAAUUGACACAAUUUGUACUCAUUUCUCCAAAGAUUUUCAACAUGAAAAGCAAAUCUAGAAUAAAGUUUCGAGAUCUAGAAUAAAAAAUAGAAGAGGGCAAAUGCAACACAACUUACAGGAUUUAUUACGAUCUUCAAACAUUCCCAAAACAUUAAGUCACAUUAAGGAUCUAUUACAAUCGGCGAAAUGAAAUGUAGAUAUAGAUUUGAAGCUUAGCCGGAAAAGAGAACAAAUUUACCACAAUUUAUACUCAAUUUUCCAUAGAUUUUAAGAACAGUUUCCACAUCUAGAAAGAAACAAAAAAAAGGGAAGCCACCAAAUGAAUGUUCUUGAAAUAGAUAUGAAAAAGAAACAGUUAUCUCUCGGAUAAGAAGAAGUCGUAUGAAAAAUCACUCACUGCCAAGUAGCUCAACUAACC